CCCUUAGAUGUUCUGGGCCGCACACGCGCUACACUGAAGGAGGCAGCGUGUACUCCUGGAUCGAAAGAUUUGGGUAACCCGCGAAUCUCCUUCGUGCUAGGGAUUGAGGUUUGCAAUUAUCCUUCAUGAACGAGGAAUUCCCAGUAAGUGCAAGUCAUAAGCUUGCGCUGACUACGUCCCUGUCCUUUGUACACACCGCCCGUCGCUACUACCGAUUGAAUGAUUUAGUGAGGACUUCGGACUGGGACCGAUGCGGCUUUCGGGCUGCGUCGGUAUUCUGGAAAGAUGUCCAAACUGUAUCAUUUAGAGGAAGUAAAANUCGUANCA
rnacentral:rRNA from 1 species